UAAAUUGUUAUCAACCUGCAAUUUGCUUAUCAAGUCACCGCUCCAGCUCAUAAACAUGAAGAGAUCCUGACCGAUGUGGCUUUUUGAAGGUGAUCUCUGGGUUGUCAACCUCAGUAACGAUGAUGAUGAUACCUCAAGUUCGAAAUAAUUUUUAAUAAAUCUCCAAAAUUGAUCAGAUCAAUCGCCUAGGAGUAAUUGAUCGGCAGGUCGAGUGAAAACAAUGGCAGCAAAGUAAAUUGAAGAGAUACAGAGAAAAUUGACGAUGUUAUCUUACCCUAGAGACAAUGGUCCAUCUCAAAUCUAUCCUAUUUGCUGGCAAGGAGUGUUAUUCUUUCCUCGAGUCACUGUUUUCCAAGUAAUUUGGUGGGAAUUUCGUUUUGGUUUAUGUGUGUGUGUAUUUGUUAUGAUUGUUGUUUAAUUGCAGGUAGUUAGGUGAUAAGUCCCUUUGUUCUCAACAGAAUUUGCAAGGAGAUGGUGUGGAUCGGGACAAAGAGAUGUCGCGGAUACAAUUGAGGACUAAGAUGAAUACAUCAUCUGGGAGUCUCAUGAAGAGAUGGAAUGCAUUCAAGGCUAGACCAGCUGCACCCGCCUUUCUCAUAUUUUAUCAAUGUGGUUUCCAACCUCAGAUGACUAGAAGAGAAGUUGCCCUUAGUCAUGGGGUCAAGUAUGCCACACAAAUCUUUUUGGCUGCUAUGUUCUUUCAUAUGAAUCAAGGGCGUUUGGAUUUGUGAAUACAAGUUUAUUGUAUCAAAUUUUCAGGUUCUUUUCAUAAGUCGGUUUACUAUAGUCGUUUUCAUUCAGAUUUGGAUUAACAAUUAAUUUAACCUCUUUUUCCGAAACCGGGGGGGGCUCCCGCCCCAAGUAAGCUGCGCCCCUGCGACCCACACAUAUGAUUUGUUGAUCAUAACUAUCAUGAAGCCAUGUUCUCCAUCAAUGGUAAUUAGUAUUUAGUUAUUCUCAAUUAUAUAACCAAUGGGGCCAGCUUUAGCUAAUUAGUUUGAUUUGACCCAUUUGUCAUGAACACAAUCCAAUUUUUGACCCAGCUAACCUUUUCUUAAUUUUGUUCUUUACUUGAUUAAAAGAUUGAUCACAGCAGAAAUAAGUAAAACACAACAAAGUACCCAUAUUUCGUGCAAUUUGUAUGUCUUAAGUUUAUUUACCUUUGUUGAACUAUUUUUAUAGAGGUUAAAUUAAUUGUUACAUGUUUAGAGGUAUAGACAUAUUUCUGUUUAUUGGCCAUUGAUGAUUUUUUAAACCAGCAAAGAUAUAACUACACAAAUCAUAUCUACAACGGUACAACAACCAUUGUUGGCGAUAUUGUUCUUACGUCGACUUAUGCUCAUGAACUUCUACGUUAUGGUCUUAAAGUUGGGCUUACAAACUAUGAUAUUACAUCGGCCAUGUUGACAGAAACUAAAUACAACCGACUUCCAAGACUUGAGAAAUGUAGCUAUGAUGGAUGAAUGGCAUGGCAGCCCUUCUCAACACUAGCUGCGAAGACCUUACAACAAAGCACAAGUGCACCGAUCCUAAAACGCUGCCACAACAAAUAGACUCAAUGAUUGGUGAAGGGAGGAUGAUGCAUGUCUCAAUCAAGAAGGAAGACCAUGUGGUAGUAACGAAUGUGACAGAAGGUGAGACAGAGGCACAGAGCGUGACUACCAGCCAACAUCUCAACAACACAAUGUCUUGGCAAUCCCACCCACAAUGCCUAAUCCCAAGAUUAAGUAGGCAACACGUCCACUUGGUGGCUCGCCACGUACAUCACUAAAAAUCUAUUAACAAAAAACAUACUAAUUAGCAAAACCUGAGCAGGUACAAUGAACUGGUAUAUUAGUUAUCUGCAAACAAUAUGCGUGCAAAUUACCGAAUUACCUGUAGGGAUUAUAGUCACAACUUUAAGAACUGCUUUCAACUAAAGUCGUUGAUAUUUGCGUUCCUAAAACAUCUACAUUUGCUUAAUGUUAAUGUGUCUUUUUUCAGUACUGUUACAGAAUCAAGCAGCACCUCAAAGAAGGUGCAUGAAGAGUGAUGACACGGAGAACCACUUUUUGGAUGGCUCCAGCCUAGGAACACUAUGCAGCCGAAAGCUUGGCAUAAGUUGGAACACCUAUCGCCACUGUCUUCCAGAAAUGUACAACAGGGAAACAUGUUUUGUGCAACUUAUCUGCCUAACACAGCUUGCUGUUAGUAAGAUAAGUUGUAAAUAAAUUAAUAAAGCAAUAUUUUGUAUAGACUAAGUAGAUAGGUUAGGUGAUGUCAAUGAAAACAGAAGAACUUAGUUGUAACAAGCACCGGUCUUUCAUCUACUAUGAUACACGAAUCCCGCCGCAUCGCGGCGGGUGGUAAAUCUAGUUAGGGAUAUUUAUGAACAAUAGCACCUGCGACUUCUAUA